UACGUAGGGUGCAAGCGUUAAUCGGAAUUACUGGGCGUAAAGCGUGCGCAGGCGGCUUUGCAAGACAGAUGUGAAAUCCCCCGGGCUCAACCUGGGAACUGCAUUUGUGACUGCAUGGCUAGAGUGCGGCAGAGGGGGAUGGAAUUCCGCGUGUAGCAGUGAAAUGCGUAGAGAUGCGGAGGAACACCGAUGGCGAAGGCAGCCCCCUGGGCCAAUACUGACGC
rnacentral:rRNA from 1 species